GGAGAUGUAGUUCAAUGGUAGUGUGCUUGCCUAGCAUGCAGGAGGCUCCAGGUUCAACCCCUAGAUUUCCA
rnacentral:tRNA from 1 species